CUGAAACUUUGUUAAUCAAUGACAGAAGGGGCAGAAGUAAAUCUCUGAGUCCUGGGGCAUUCUUCUGUACAGAGCUGUACAUCAAACUUUUGCUGCUAAUGAAUAUAAUUCAUCAAGAAGAUUUUUAAAAAUUUUAUAUAGUUACAUAGACUGCUCUCCUGUUGUGGAAACAUCUGCUUAGAACCUCAGAAAUUAAGAUAAUCAAUAAAACAUGAAAGAAAGCCCUGAUUUGUAGUGUUUGCCAACUUCUGUGAUGUAAGUACUUCCACCCUUGGAGAUUUCAAAUGAUCAUUAUGACAUCUUUGAAUACAGAAUUGGGAAGAAAUGCACAGAAGUACAUCAUUAUAUUGUAUUCACAAUAUAGAAAGAAUAGGAGUAAAUAACUUCAAGAUCAUCAAUAAUAAAAUGUAGUAAAAUGAUUAACAAGUAAUGAAUAUCUUUUUUUCUAAUGCAUUUUAUUUAAUUUUAAGUGCAUGUAAUAUGAUGUUUAAUAAUGACCAUAUUUAGCAACUGGCUCAAACAAUUUCUGAUAAUUUAACAAUGAGCUUUUGGGAAAUAAGCCAGUUUCCCCACACGACUGCACAUUAGAGAUUUCACUCUUGCUGGUAGCUCUUUCAGAAAUAUUCUCUUACCACCACUUUGAAUACCUUGUUUAACUCUCAUUUCCUCUUUAUAUAUUCAUUUUAACUGUUUAUUAACCACCCCAUUGAUAGACGUUAGCUUUUUUAAAAUUUAUUUUUUAAUUAACAAAAAUUAUAU
rnacentral:lncRNA from 10 species